rnacentral:rRNA from 1 species
AUUGAACGCUGGCGGCAUGAUUUACACAUGCAAGUCGAACGGUAACAGGCCGCAAGGUGCUGACGAGUGGCGAACGGGUGAGUAAUGCAUCGGAACGUGCCCAGUCCUGGGGGAUAACUACUCGACAGAGUAGCUAAUACCGCAUACGAUCUAUGGAUGAACGCGGGGGACCGUAAGGCCUCGCGCGAUUGGAGCGGCCGAUGUCAGAUUAGGUAGUUGGUGGGGUAAAGGCUCACCAAGCCAACGAUCUGUAGCUGGUCUGAGAGGACGACCAGCCACACUGGGACUGAGACACGGCCCAGACUCCUACGGGAGGCAGCAGUGGGGAAUGUUGGACAAUGGGCGCAAGCCUGAUCCAGCAAUGCCGCGUGCAGGAAGAAGGCCUUCGGGUUGUAAACUGCUUUUGUACGGAACGAAACGGCUCUGGUUAAUACCCGGGGCUAAUGACGGUACCGUAAGAAUAAGCACCGGCUAACUACGUG